UCACUUUGGGAGAAGCCAGCUGUCGUGUGUUAGGACACUCAGGCAGCCUGUGGAAAAUCGCACAUGGCGAGGAACAGAGGGCUCCAGUCAAACAACCAGUGCCAACAACCACGUUCCCAGGUGCUGCUGUUGCUGCCGAGGGUCAGAGGACACACUCUGAGAACUGGUGCUCUGAAGAACAAUGGUAAGAAAAACCAGCCAGGCUGGCCAAUUGAAGGAGGCAGGCAGGAGUUGAAAUGACACAUCUCCAGUAUUGCACCUGGCAGAAUCAUCUGAUCCCUAACUUGAGAAUUAAGCAAUCAUGUCAGAGCCUACAGCCACUGCCAGUCAGCUUCCUGUCCCAGUCUCAGAAAGAUAAAACCAGUAGAGCAGGCAUGUGUACACCCAGUGUUCAAGAAAACAAACCCCUAACAAACACCUCACCUUGAAACCUCUAGUUUCUGCCUUUGUCCCCCUUGCAAUCAGUCAAAAUGAAUUCAUUCUUACAUGGAAAAUAAUGUUUCAACAAACACUCCUUCUUGCAUUCAGCAGAUAUUCUGUAGUUUAAAGAAUGAUUUUUUUUUUUUUUUCACAGAACUCCCAAGUGCUUUUACGAACAACAGUGAAACCCCUUGCAUGCCUCAGUAAGAAAGCAUAUUUUCAUUUUACAGCUGAGGACAGGAGCCUGUUGAAGGUCCAGUGGGAUAAGGGACUGGGGAGGGCACCUGAUAGUCAUGGUGUUGGGAACCUCACUAAUCCUUGAGGCUUCUUAUAAACACGGCCAGAGACACCGCCCACAUUACUCCCUCUGGGUUUUUAAUACCAAUGUUUGAUUGAGGCUUUCUUCCCUUCCUCCUACAUUAUUCCU